rnacentral:rRNA from 1 species
AUUGAACGCUGGCGGCAGGCUUAACACAUGCAAGUCGAGCGAGCGGCGGACGGGUGAGUAAUGUCUGGGAAACUGCCUGAUGGAGGGGGAUAACUACUGGAAACGGUAGCUAAUACCGCAUACCAUCAGAUGUGCCCAGAUGGGAUUAGCUAGUGGGUGGGGUAAUGGCUCACCAAGGCCACGAUCCCUAGCGGGUCUGAGAGGAGUACCAGCUACACUGGAACUGAUACACGGCCCAGACUCCUACGGGAGGCAGCAGUGGGGAAUGUUGGACAAUGGGCGCAGGCCGUAUACAGCCAUGCCGCGUGUUGGAAGAAGGCCUUCGGGUUGUAAAGCACUUUAAUCUGGGAGGCGUUACCUGCAGAAGAAGCACCGGCUAACUCCGUGCCAGCAGCCGCGGUAAUAC